ACGGCUGUAGCUCAGUGGACUUAGAGCGAGACUUUGCGAAGGUCUGGGACGCAGGUUCAAAUCCUGCCAGCCGUACCA
rnacentral:tRNA from 1 species